GUGACUGCGUACCUUUUGUAUAAUGGGUCAGCGACUUAUAUUCUGUAGCAAGGUUAACCGUAUAGGGGAGCCGGAGGGAAACCGAGUCUUAAUUGGGCGUUAAGUUGCAGGGUAUAGACCCGAAACCCGGUGAUCUAGCCAUGGGCAGGUUGAAGGUUGGGUAACACUAACUGGAGGACCGAACCGACUAAUGUUGAAAAAUUAGCGGAUGACCUGUGGCUGGGGGUGAAAGGCCAAUCAAACCGGGAGAUAGCUGGUUCUCCCCGAAAGCUAUUUAGGUAGCGCCUCGUGAAUUCAUCUCCGGGGGUAGAGCACUGUUUCGGCUAGGGGGCCAUCCCGGCUUACCAACCCGAUGCAAACUGCGAAUACCGGAGAAUGUUAUCACGGGAGACACACGGCGGGUGCUAACGUCCGUCGUGAAGAGGGAAACAACCCAGACCGCCAGCUAAGGUCCCAAAGUCAUGGUUAAGUGGGAAACGAUGUGGGAAGGCCCAGACAGCCAGGAUGUUGGCUUAGAAGCAGCCAUCAUUUAAAGAAAGCGUAAUAGCUCACUGGUCGAGUCGGCCUGCGCGGAAGAUGUAACGGGGCUAAACCAUGCACCGAAGCUGCGGCAGCGAACGUAUCACCCAAGACAACUUUACGGAGUUGACGAUUGACGGAGCGAAGCGACGUCAAAGCGUUCAUUAAAGUCGAGUUGGCUUAGGGAUACGUUCGUUGGGUAGGGGAGCGUUCUGUAAGCCUGUGAAGGUGUGUCGUGAGGCAUGCUGGAGGUAUCAGAAGUGCGAAUGCUGACAUAAGUAACGAUAAAGCGGGUGAAAAGCCCGCUCGCCGGAAGACCAAGGGUUCCUGUCCAACGUUAAUCGGGGCAGGGUGAGUCGACCCCUAAGGCGAGGCCGAAAGGCGUAGUCGAUGGGAAACGGGUUAAUAUUCCCGUACUUGGUGUUACUGCGAAGGGGGGACGGAGAAGGCUAUGUUGGCCGGGCGACGGUUGUCCCGGUUUAAGCGUGUAGGUGUGUGUUCCAGGUAAAUCCGGUUCACUUUAACACUGAGGCGUGACGACGAGGCACUACGGUGCUGAAGCAACAAAUGCCCUGCUUCCAGGAAAAGCCUCUAAGCAUCAGGUAACACGAAAUCGUACCCCAAACCGACACAGGUGGUCAGGUAGAGAAUACCAAGGCGCUUGAGAGAACUCGGGUGAAGGAACUAGGCAAAAUGGUGCCGUAACUUCGGGAGAAGGCACGCUGACACGUAGGUGAAGUGAUUUACUCAUGGAGCUGAAGUCAGUCGAAGAUACCAGCUGGCUGCAACUGUUUAUUAAAAACACAGCACUGUGCAAACACGAAAGUGGACGUAUACGGUGUGACGCCUGCCCGGUGCCGGAAGGUUAAUUGAUGGGGUCAGCGUAAGCGAAGCUCCUGAUCGAAGCCCCGGUAAACGGCGGCCGUAACUAUAACGGUCCUAAGGUAGCGAAAUUCCUUGUCGGGUAAGUUCCGACCUGCACGAAUGGCGUAAUGAUGGCCAGGCUGUCUCCACCCGAGACUCAGUGAAAUUGAACUCGCUGUGAAGAUGCAGUGUACCCGCGGCAAGACGGAAAGACCCCGUGAACCUUUACUAUAGCUUGACACUGAACAUUGAGCCUUGAUGUGUAGGAUAGGUGGGAGGCUUUGAAGUGUGGACGCCAGUCUGCAUGGAGCCGACCUUGAAAUACCACCCUUUAAUGUUUGAUGUUCUAACGUGGACCCGUAAUCCGGGUUGCGGACAGUGUCUGGUGGGUAGUUUGACUGGGGCGGUCUCCUCCUAAAGAGUAACGGAGGAGCACGAAGGUUGGCUAAUCCUGGUCGGACAUCAGGAGGUUAGUGCAAUGGCAUAAGCCAGCUUGACUGCGAGCGUGACGGCGCGAGCAGGUGCGAAAGCAGGUCAUAGUGAUCCGGUGGUUCUGAAUGGAAGGGCCAUCGCUCAACGGAUAAAAGGUACUCCGGGGAUAACAGGCUGAUACCGCCCAAGAGUUCAUAUCGACGGCGGUGUUUGGCACCUCGAUGUCGGCUCAUCACAUCCUGGGGCUGAAGUAGGUCCCAAGGGUAUGGCUGUUCGCCAUUUAAAGUGGUACGCGAGCUGGGUUUAGAACGUCGUGAGACAGUUCGGUCCCUAUCUGCCGUGGGCGCUGGAGAACUGAGGGGGGCUGCUCCUAGUACGAGAGGACCGGAGUGGACGCAUCACUGGUGUUCGGGUUGUCAUGCCAAUGGCACUGCCCGGUAGCUAAAUGCGGAAGAGAUAAGUGCUGAAAGCAUCUAAGCACGAAACUUGCCCCGAGAUGAGUUCUCCCUGAGACUUAGAGUCUCCUGAAGGAACGUUGAAGACGACGACGUUGAUAGGCCGGGUGUGUAAGCGCAGCGAUGCGUUGAGCUAACCGGUACUAAUGAACCGUGAGGCUUAACCUU
rnacentral:rRNA from 1 species